CUGAUCACUGUUAAUCUGAGAGCUUUUUCAUUACCGACUUUAAACUUUGAUAUGGAAUGAGUAUGAAAACUUACUGUUAAAAAUACUGGGAUAUCUCAAAGAGGAUUAGUCCCUACUGAUGGGAUGUCAAUUAUUCUCAAUAACUUUAAGUGAGACAAUCGCUGUAAAUAUAACAAUCAUGGAUCAUUUUCGCGGUGUUUGUAUAUGUUAAUUUAAAAUAAACGUGUUCAUAAUAUUUGACCAUUCUUCCGAACCUGGAAUGUGAAAAACCAGCUCUGCAGCAUGGCUUGCCGUCUUAUUUCAUUAAAUUUUAAACCAGCUACUCCAUUAGUUUUCCCUCACUCUACUAGCUAUAACAAGCAUACUGCUCUAACACAGACUACUUUGAAAAGUACAGAGUUAAAAUACUACAAAGAAUAUUUAGUGCUCGCCAUCUUAAUUGUUAACUUCAAGUUCAACAGUAUAUCUAUGUCAUUUAAUACUCGCUCGGCUCUAACUAUAUCUUUGCUAUUGUAUGCCGAAGAUUUUGAAACUUUGAAACUAUACUGUUUUGUUGGGAUCGUAGUAUUCCUUGUUGUUAUUGAUGUCGUUAAAAUUGUCGACUUAAAGGGUUGAUGUACUUGUGAAGAUAUUGGUUGAUUAUGAACCGUCAAUAAGCACAAGAAUUUGAUGAGCAUAAUCCCUCACACAUCAUAUUUGAUUGUAAUAUUAUUUCAUGGUUCUAACCAGUGCACAGUUUCGUAGCUAUUUUAUUAACAUUUUUUAGUCCAAUUACUACAAUGGUCUAAACAUCUUUGAUCGCAUGAAUGCGAUCAAUCUCUAAGCUUGCAAUCGUUUAUUACCAAUAUUAAUAGUUAUCGAGUACGUCAUGCUGCAAUGAUCACGAUUUGCACAUUACAAUUAUAGACUAAUUCUAAAAUGAUGAUGCUUCAUUCUUGUGCGUCUUCUUUGUUUUGAAACAUAAUCCAGGGAUUAAUUAUAACAUCCAAUUCCAACUAAGAUCAAACGGAGAAUCGUUCAAAAUUUGAGGCAUUUUGAAGGCUAAGCUAAGCUAAGAUUCAAGAAGUAUUGUGUGCACUAUUGUUUGAGUCAUCUCACAAAUUACCGGUCAACAUUUUACCGACCAACAUUUUUACUAAUACCGACCAACAUUUUUACUAAUACUCUUGCAAUGCCAUGCUUUGCGUGUGAUAAACUAUCGCUCAAACGUUAACCAUGGCUAACAAAGUACGAACUUAGUUAUAUUAGUAACGAUUCGCGGACACCGCCGGCCGGUAUAGUGGUUCUUUAUAAGUUUAUAACCGGGCCGCCGAUAUCAAGCACUGCAAGGCGCAAGCAUUGGUUGUUGCUUUUAAUUUUAGUAGCGACGGUGUUUUUACUUUAUAAUGCUUAAUAUUUUUAUUCGUCAAAAUUUGUAAUACACUUACAGCUUAACUGGCUUCAAAUGCAACCUCAGCCAACAUUAAAAUUGCUGUUGGUCGAUGUUUCAUUUAAUUGAGCACCCAAAUUUAGAUAUGAAGACCUGUGAUAUAUCCUGAAUAUAUAGUUUGCUCUUCUGAAUUGCCCAUUUAGGUUGCUCAAGUAGUUUAAUCAAUACUGUUCAGUGUUUAUCUGUUCUAGUGGUACUGCUAGUACUAACUACUACUAGUACUAACAUUAUUGAUUUAGCCAGCCUUUUCUUUGUAUGUAACUGGUAAGCAGACAUACAGUUACACUUUACAAAAGCUUUGCCAGUGAUACUGAGAGUGACAAAGUAAGAAAGAGCGCAACAUAAAGUACCAACAGAUAGUUCUCAUGUCACAAAACCGCGUGGGGCUAACCUUUGAGGCACUGAUUCAUGAGAACAAGAAGCGACCAAACAAUCGCCUUCAGAACAUGUUAAACCAAAAGUUGCAGAACUUGGACUCAAUGAAAAAUGAAAUGGAACGACUGCAUCGCAAAGAAAAAUCUGACCUGCAGUUAAGGCAAAAGAUUUAUAGCAGGAUUCUGGGUUCGCUAUCUCGAGAUUUGAGCAGCAGAGCAGUGACCAAGCUGAAUAGCCGACAAGAUCAAUAUCCGGAGUAUAAAUACCAACUCUCUGAUGAAGUUGUUUUGGCACCCCUAAGUGUUCGUCUGCAGAUUCCAACCACGUUACCCAGUCUUUGACCAUCAGAUGGACGAAGAAUGUACAUGGCAAGAAGCUGAAAAAGAUGAGAUCGGUACUGAAACCGAAAAAGGCAGCACUCUAACAGAGCUCACAGUUGCAGUAGAGCUUCAGCCCUCGCAAGCAAAGGUCAAAAUGCCGCAAGCUGCAAAGGUUAAAUUGCCCAGUAUUGAUGAAUCAUGAGCAAGCUGGGUGUUUAAGUUCAUCGUAUAUCGGUACCUCUCACACUAUUUGAGUCUCACAUCUGAUGGUAGGAGCAAUGAGUUGCCGAAUCAUACAUCAUAACAAGCUGAACAAUUUCAGACAACUUUUCUGACAGAAAA